UUAGCCGGGCGUGAUGGCAGGCACCUGUAAUCCCAGCUACUCGAGAGCCUGAGGCAGGAGAAUCCCUUGAACCCGGGAGGCAGAGAUUGCAGUGAGCCGAGAUCACGCCACUGCACUCCAGCCUGAGCAACAAGAGCAAAACUCCGUCACAAAAAAAAAAAAAAAAAGUUCUCCUAGGAACUGUUUUCUGUGAAGAUAGUUUGAUCUUGUUUCAUUUUGUAGAGAUACGUCCAAGAAGAUUACAUGUAUGUGUUAUGUAGCUAACAUUUCCUCUAAAUGACGUACAUUUUUAGCAAACUUCUCUAUUUCCUGCUACCCCAAAUUAUAUUAUUUACUCCGCAUGUCCUGAGACCCUGGCAUGAGUUUGGAGCUGGUCUCUCUCUGAUUUGCAGUGAUUACAGUGGCGAGAUCUUGAACAACUGCUGCGUCAUGGAGUACCACCAAGCCACAGGCACCCUUAGUGCCCACUUCAGGAAUAUGUCCCUGAAACGAAUUAAGAGGUCAGACCGUCGUGGGGCAGAGUCGGUGACAGAAGAAAAAUUUACAAUCCUGUUUGAAUCCCAGUUCAGUGUUGGUGGAAAUGAGCUGGUUUUUCAAGUCAAGACCCUGUCCCUGCCAGUGGUGGUGAUCGUUCAUGGCAGCCAGGACAACAAUGCGACGGCCACCGUUCUCUGGGACAAUGCUUUUGCAGAGCCUGGCAGGGUGCCAUUUGCCGUGCCUGACAAAGUGCUGUGGCCACAGCUGUGUGAGGCACUCAACAUGAAAUUCAAGGCUGAAGUGCAGAGCAACCGGGGCCUGACCAAGGAGAACCUCGUGUUCCUGGCGCAGAAACUGUUCAACAACAGCAGCAGCCACCUGGAGGACUACAGUGGCCUGUCCGUGUCCUGGUCCCAGUUCAACAGGGAGAAUUUACCAGGACGGAAUUACACUUUCUGGCAAUGGUUUGACGGUGUGAUGGAAGUGUUAAAAAAACAUCUCAAGCCU
rnacentral:sRNA from 1 species